rnacentral:misc_RNA from 1 species
GAUGAAGAACGUAGCGAAACGCGAUACGUAAUGUGAAUUGCAGAAUUCAGUGAAUCAUCGAAUCUUUGAACGCACCUUGCGCCCCUCGGCAUUCCGAGGGGCAUGCCUGUUUGAGUGUCACGGAUCCUUCGAACCCCGCCGGUCUCCGACGAGCCGGCCGCCUGGGUUCGGUCCUGGGCGCUACGCCACCCCUCCGGGGCUGGCACGCCUCAAAAGCAUCAGCUGGGCCUCGCGGCGUGGGCGGGCUCCGAUCGGCGUGAUAAGUCAUCUGCCGAGAGGGUGCCCGUCCGUCCCGCGGAUCGCGGUCCGCUCCCAACCCCUCCCCGCGCGCCGUCCCCCCCCGGGGAGCGCGCGGGGACGUUUCGACGCUCUGGCCUCAAAUCAGGUAGGACCACCCGCUGAACUUAAGCAUAUCAAUAAGCGGAGGA